GGGUCAGUAGGUUGGUCGUGCCACCGGUACGUACUGGUCUCACUGAUUCCUCCUUCCUGAAGAACCGUAAUGCCACUAAUUUGGUGUUGCGGGGAAACAGGACUGUUACUUUGAAAAAAUUAGAGUGUUUAAAGCAAGCUAACGCUUGAAUACAUUAGCAUGGAAUAGUGAAAUAGGACGAUCGAUCCUAUUUUGUUGGUUUCUAGGAUUGACGUA
rnacentral:rRNA from 1 species